GAUGAACGCUAGCUACAGGCUUAACACAUGCAAGUCGAGGGGUAGCCGGGUGGCAAUACCGCUGACGACCGGCGCACGGGUGAGUAACACGUACCCAACCUUCCCAUAACUCGGGGAUAGCCUUUCGAAAGAAAGAUUAAUACCCGAUAGUACUUAUAUAGGGCAUCCUACAUAAGUUAAAGAUUUAUUGGUUAUGGAUGGGGAUGCGUUCCAUUAGAUAGUUGGUGAGGUAACGGCUCACCAAGUCUUCGAUGGAUAGGGGUUCUGAGAGGAAGGUCCCCCACAUUGGUACUGAGACACGGACCAAACUCCUACGGGAGGCAGCAGUGAGGAAUAUUGGUCAAUGGGCGAGAGCCUGAACCAGCCAAGUAGCGUGAAGGAUGAAGGUCCUAUGGAUUGUAAACUUCUUUUAUAGUAGAAUAAAGUGAUCCACGUGUGGAUUUUUGUAUGUAUACUAUGAAUAAGGAUCGGCUAACUCCGUGCCAGCCGCCGCAGUAA
rnacentral:rRNA from 1 species